UUAAUGCUGUCAGCUGAGUUGAUUAUCGAGCAAUGGUGGUGUUAUGACCUAAGAAAAUAAAUCGAAUUCAUUGUCAUUUAUUGCUGUGUUAUUUCACUAUAGCUCAACAAAUAUAUUUCUAGAUGAAACAUUAGCCCUUAGGGUUCUGUAUGGUAUAAUAUAAAGACAUGGAUUGGAGUGUAAUUGUGUGAUAUCUGGAAACUGUAGUUGUCUUGGUGGGGAUUAUCAGUAAAGAGCAGUAGUGCUGGAUUCCUUUUGAUUUCAAGUUCAGUUCUCUUCAUUCACAAUGUUGUAUGUGUUCCAUGUAGAUGCUGGUCAGAUGACCACCUAUGACAUGAGUCUGACCUUGCAAACAGUGGCCAUGUUAAAAGCUGCUAUAGAAAGAAAGACGAAGACACCUUCAAGUUCCCUGGUGCUAUUGGUCAGUGGUGGUGAGGUCCUGAAAUCUGACCACAUGGUGUCAUCAUACAGUGCAGGCACAGACACAAACCCUAUAUAUAUGUUUAGUAAGCCGUCAGUUAAAGAGAGUCAUCUAAAGAAAUCAAUGUGCAGCGAUCUCAGUCCAAUAUUGGAGUUAGAAUCAGGUGAAUUCCGGAGUGGGGAGAGGAGUUUCGAUGGAAAGUCGUUUGCUGACCUCAAGGCGAGCGUGGACAAGUGCUGCUCUCUGCCAGCCACUGUCAGCACGGUCAUAGCCUGCGCGACUCUUGCGCAGAGGUUCAGUGACCUCGCGCAUGAGCUGUCUAGGAGCUGUGAACAAUUGGUACAUGAGCAGCAUCUUCAGCAUCAGGGUUGGGCGGCAGUGGUAGCGAACUUAGAAGAUAUAUUUAACGAGUUUUGCGACAGAUCAAGAAAUUUCAAAGAAACGUUCAAGAAGCAUCGCGCGAAAAAGGAGGAAUACCAUCAGCAACUGAAUACACUCAACGAAGUAUUAGAAGCACUAGGUAAAAUUCCGAUACUGCCGGCGUUGCAAGUGAACGCUGAAGCCCAUCGGUUCUCUGGUUUCGAUGUGUUUGAAGAGGCAGACUUCGAGGGAAACCUAUACAGGGUCAGCCAUCCGCUGGACAACAGCUCGGAGACGAAACACCAGGAAUUUGGAGUCGAGGCGUUCAAGUUGUCUGAAGAAGAUGUAUUCGAACAAAAAGAUGCGGCAGCAAAAAAGGAUUCGAUGCAGUCGGACGACCGGCCGGUGCAGGAGUCUGACGAAGGGAUGCGAUUCGGAAGGUAUUCCUCAGAGAGCAAAGAUGAACUCACUCUGUUGCAUUGGAUAUUGGCGAGGGGCAACAAAGAUUCGUUACAAGAUAUAAUCGAUUACUGCCAAAAAGGACUCACACUGAUCGAGACAGAGCCAUUGAAAGAGCACGAAGAAGAAUUAUGUCACAUUCUAGAAUAUGCGAAUCUUCACGGUUUGAAGCAGAUCAAGGGCAUAGAGGAACGGUUGUAUCGCCUCGAUCAGUUGUUGAAUGAAGUGAGGAAAAGGGAGAAGGACCAGCACGAUCAGGCUGCCUCGCUCAUACAGUAUCGCGAACGACUAAACACGGCAUGCGAUCCGUCAGUGCUGCCAACGUUGGUGCAGUCGCACCGGUGUCAACUAGAAAAACUGCUCAAAGGACACCAGGCCAUAGCGGAUAUCCGCAGGCGGAUCAUUAAGUCAAAGGAUGAACUGUCUUAUAUUUUAAAGUCUAGAUUAGAGGCGGUACUAAUGAUAGAAAACUCGAUGUCCGUGCAAGAUGCGCACGGAAUGCUGUCGUUCCAAUGUUUCAAUCGUCUCGCGCGGUAUUUCGUGAUAGUAUCGCAGCUACAUCGCGCCCCUGCCGUUUUUGUGCGAGCCGUACACGAAGUAGCUAGACGCAGGAAGUUCUCUGAAGCUCAUCUUAAGUGGGCAUCAGAUCUAGCGUCGAAAUUGCAGAAAAUCCACGAAGAGGAAUCAUCGAGGCGACAGGAUUUCAACACUCUCUUCGACGGGCACUUCCUCAAAAGUUUGUUCCCGGGCAUGACAGAGUUGCCCCCGCCAUUCGCAACUCAAGCGCCGCCCGUGUUCGACGCGAAACUGCCCAGGAUCACGGACACCGAUGUCGAGUACAUAGCUAAAUCGUUCCCGCAUUUGACUGAGGAAGUGCCCAAGUAUGAUAUGGAUGCCACAGUUAAAUUUUUUGAACAAAGACUUGUCUCAACAGAUGACAAAGAUAACGAAGAAAUUGCUCAAACAGAAGCUGACGCAGAAAUAGAAGCGAAAGGCGGCUAUUUCGAGGACAUAAUCAGGGCGACGCCCGCGCUGAAGGUGGACACGGCGACGUGCUGCUCGCCCGCGGUGGCGGCGGCGGCCACGCUGACGGAGGUGCGGGUAUCAGUAGUUCCGGGCGACUUCGAUAGCUCAGACUUUUACAUCGAGGAGUCGCUGCCCUCCAGCUUGGAGUGGGGCCGGCCCGGACAGGACAAUAUGGACACACACAAAAUCAACAUGGAAAAGCUACAGGAAUUCCUAAUAAGUUUAUGCAGUUUAUGUAGAACUAAUAUUAUGUUUAUUAAAGAAGAAUUGGUUAAAUUAAAAGGUGAAAUUAAUGAACAGAAGAAAUUCGUUAAGGGUAAAUAUUUAGAAAUUUUAGAUGGGUGGGAGAGAAGUAAUCAAGAGGCAGCUAUAAGAUUUCGUGAGCACACUCAGAGAAUGACUGUAGACCACGAAUUAGAGUUGAGUGAUAUGAAAGCGGCCAUGACACAAAAAGAUGACGUCAUAGAUUCUCUCAAAAGGGAGAAGGAAGAUUUGAAAUUGGAACAUCAAAAAGAUUUAGAGAGACUAGAUAAAGAGCAUCAGGACACCAAAGAUCUUUUGGAAAAAACUCGAAUGGAAGUGAAAGAGCUAGAAAAGAAAUUGGCGGAAUAUGAUGCGAAUAAACAAGUGGAGAUAAAAGAGUUGCAGGAGAAGAUGCAUUUGGAUUACAAAGCAGAGAUCGAGUCAUUGCGGUCUAGGUUCCGCUUAGUAGCAAUCACAAAUAUGGAUCGUUCUCCGUCCGAAUCGAGUCUUGAGAAAAUAGAACGAACCGAUGUUAUAGAAAUUUCCAGUCACAACGCGAUCGUCAUGCAGACGAAGGAAAACGCCGAAGUGGAAAAGGAGGAGGCGGUAAAAGAGGCGGUCGCGAAAUGUGACGCCGAUUGGAGACUUAAGCUCGAGGAGGAAUUGAAAUCCUUUAAAAAUAAAUAUGAAAACGAGAAACAGGUUAGUAACGACGUGAGUCGUCGCCUCAUCGCUGAAAAGGACCGUCAAUUGGACGCAUUACGCGAGCGAGAGCAAGCGUUGGUCAGGGAAAGUAAUAAGUACAGGGACACAAUUCAACAACUCACAGAUCCCGAGACCAACGAUUACGAUGCCCUGCUCAAGACACAGUUCGCGUCCCUUGAAAACGACAAAGCCGUGCUACAGCAGCAAGUAGCAGAUUUGAAAAAGGAGUUGGAGAGGAGAGAGGAAGCGGAGAAAAGCAGAGACGAAGCGGAGAAGAGCAGAGAAGAUGACAGCGAGGGCAGAUCGUCCCCCAAGAAGGAGACGGUCAGCCGCCGCGGCGUGGCGCACACGCCGGUGGGGCUCCCCGGGGGGACGCUGAGCCUGUCGUCGUGCCUCCCCGGGCACACCGUGCUCGUGCUGUGGGACGCCGCCCACCACAAUUACACCGUGCUGCAGGAAGCUCCGGUCAUGUUCUUUGUAUAUAGUGAUUGUCUGGCCGCCCUUGAUCUCAGUCUGAACGUGAAAAACGAAUCGGAGCGCAAACUGUAUGCCGUGGCGACGGUCGAGUCUAAGGAGUACUGCUAUGCUAAAAGGAGUGUGAACCGCUACAAUAUGCCGCGUGGUUCCCGCUUCUACCGCGUGCACGUGAAGCCGCUGCGCGCGCAGCCGCCGCCGCCGCCGCCUUGCUGCGACCACAAGCAUAAGCAGGAUAAAAUGAAGCGCAGCGUUCUCUCCGUGUUGGGCGAAAACCGACCGCUCAAGAAAUGGUUGACCUACAUGCAUGCCCCAGACAUGCACAGAUCGGUUGACAACAGUCAGUCGACGAGUUCGACCACCGACGAUGCUGGUGGUAGCGGUCGUGCUGAAGUGGCUACCGCUACCCUCAUCAACUUGGAGUCCCCUAAAUCUCCCGCGGAACCGAGCGUAGCGUCCAGCAGUAGCGCGGCCACAGUGCCCGCGACAUCGGAAGACCAGCUGGAUUCUAUAGAAGCCAGCGAAUGGCCGGCCAGGAUGCAAGUGUCUACUGCUAGCGCAAUGUUAUUUUUAAAGUCAAUACUGGAUCCAAGUGGAUCCAGGUAGCCGGAUCCUAGUGGAUCCAGUUGUGUCGCAGCCGUGAGAAGACCAGGCGAAUUCUAUUGAGACUAGUGAAGGAGACCUAGAGAACACAACUGUAGUAAUGACGGACAUGGAGUGCAGCGUGGGGCGCUGCGCGGGCCCCGAGGCGGGCGAGGCGCCCGAGCUGGCCGAGGAGGCCGCGCCCUGACGCCGCCGCGCCCGCCCGCGCUGCUGCCGCUAGCCCUCGGGGACCACACGAACCUACGCGUCACUCAAGUGAAGUGCGCUCGCCGUUACGUUCUCGAUUCCAAUUUUAAACGAGUUUUGAGUGAGCGGCCAUUUUGUCGACGUCUUCCGCUACUCUGCGACCCUGGUGGUCUCGCGAUCCGAUGACGGAUCUUUGUGAUCGAUGAACUCUAAUAACGUGUCUUUGUGAUCAUAUUAUGUUGAUAAAAGUUAACAUCAAAAUAGCUUUUAAUAUUAAAUUACUCUUUAUUUUUAGAUUAGAUAUUAUUUUCUUAUUAUGAAGUGGCGUUUGAUUCGAAUUAUUUCAUUCGACGGUGAUUUCUUCACAAUAGUACAAAUUUGUAUAGUCGUAAAGCUUUAUAUUUUUUUUUGCGAAAAUAUUCGUGAAUACCAUUUUUUAUUUUUUACCUGUAUGAGUUGUGUUACUAGUUUAACGUGAUUGGUAUAUUUUAAUAUCCUGACAUACAUUUUGGAACGUUAUAUUUUUGUAUUGUAUUGUGCAUAAUUUCAAUGAUGUAAGUUUAUAUAACCGCAGCACAAAGUAUGUGUAAGUUGACCAAUCGAUUACCAUCAAUUGGUCGACUCAAAGCGGGAACAAUGUUGGCGAAUGACGGUCUUAUGAUAAAAUAAACAAAAUUUUAAUACCAGAA